rnacentral:rRNA from 1 species
UAAUACCGCAUACGUCCUACGGGAGAAAGGGGGCUUCGGCUCCCGCUAUUGGAUGAGCCUAUGCCGGAUUAGCUGGUUGGUGAGGUAAUGGCUCACCCAAGGCGACGAUCCGUAGCUGGUCUGAGAGGAUGAUCAGCCACAUCGGGACUGAGACACGGCCCGAACUCCUACGGGAGGCAGCAGUGGGGAAUAUUGGACAAUGGGGGCAACCCUGAUCCAGCCAUGCCGCGUGUGUGAAGAAGGCCCUCGGGUUGUAAAGCACUUUCAGCGAGGAAGAACGCCUGUCGGUUAAUACCCGGCAGGAAAGACAUCACUCGCAGAAGAAGCACCGGCUAACUCCGUGCCAGCAGCCGCGGUAAUACGGAGGGUGCAAGCGUUAAUCGGAAUUACUGGGCGUAAAGCGCGCGUAGGUGGCUUGAUAAGCCGGUUGUGAAAGCCCCGGGCUCAACCUGGGAACGGCAUCCGGAACUAUUAGGCUAGAGUGCAGGAGAGGAAGGUAGAAUUCCCGGUGUAGCGGUGAAAUGCGUAGAGAUCGGGAGGAAUACCAGUGGCGAAGGCGGCCUUCUGGACUGACACUGACACUGAGGUGCGAAAGCGUGGGUAGCAAACAGGAUUAGAUACCCUGGUAGUCCACGCCGUAAACGAUGUCGACCAGCCGUUGGGUGCCUAGCGCACUUUGUGGCGAAGUUAACGCGAUAAGUCGACCGCCUGGGGAGUACGGCCGCAAGGUUAAAACUCAAAUGAAUUGACGGGGGCCCGCACAAGCGGUGGAGCAUGUGGUUUAAUUCGAUGCAACGCGAAGAACCUUACCUACCCUUGACAUCCUGCGAACUUGUGAGAGAUCACUUGGUGCCUUCGGGAGCGCAGAAACAGGUGCUGCAUGGCUGUCAUCAGCUCGGGGUUGUGAAAUGUUGGGUUAAGUCCCGUAACCAAGCGCAACCCUUGUCCCUAUUUGCCAGCGAUUCGGUCGGGAACUCUAGGGAGACUGCCGGUGACAAACCCGGAGGAAGGUGGGGACGACGUCAAGGCAUCAUGGCCCUUACGGGUAGGGCUACACACGUGCUACAAUGGCCGGUACAAAGGGCUGCGAGCUCGCGAGAGUCAGCGAAUCCCUUAAAGCCGGUCUCAGUCCGGAUCGGAGUCUGCAACUCGACUCCGUGAAGUCGGAAUCGCUAGUAAUCGUGCAUCAGAAUGGCACGGUGAAUACGUUCCCGGGCCUUGUACACACCGCCCGUC